AUGGCGGCACCGCAGAGGCCGACAUCGGCGACUACGGCUUCGGUGUGCGUCCCGGAUACGGCGCGGGGCACGCACGUGUUCACGGUCGCCGGCUAUAGGCUGCACAAGGGCCUCGGCGUCGGCAACUUCAUCAGAUCUGCCACCUUCGCCGUCGGCGGCUACGACUGGUGCAUCCGCUACUACCCCGACGGAGACGCAAACAAGGACUACAUUUCGAUUUGCGUCGAGCUCCAGAGCAAGGAAUCCGUGAACUCCCAUGUCAAGGGGCAAUCCAUUUUCAUGCAGAGGGACCUCCUGGAGGCAUCCCCGUACCUGAAAGAUGACUGCAUCGUCAUCGAGAGCGAUGUCACUGUUCUCCUCAAGAAAAUACCGGCCGUGGCGACUGCCACCACCAAGACGCCUGAGAUCGAGGUGCCGCCGUCUGACCUGUCAAAUAAUCUCGCAAAGCUGCUUGAGGGGAAGAAAGGGGCAGACUUGAUGAUCAAUGUCAGUGGGGAGACCUUCCACGCACACAAGAUCGUGCUCGCGAUGCGGUCUCCGGUCUUCGAAGCAGAGCUCUACGGGCCAAUGGCAAUGUGCGGCACCGAGAAGCAGUGCAUUGAGAUUGUGGACAUGCAGCCCGCCGUCUUCGGAGCAUUUCUUCACUUCAUAUACACAGAUUCAUUGCCUGCCAUGGAUGACCUCCUUGACAGACAUGACAAGAGGGAGGUGAUCAGGCAUCUGCUUGUGGCUGCAGACAGGUAUGCCAUGGACAGGCUCAAGCUGAUGUGUGAGGCCAUCCUCUGCAAGGGUCUAGAUGCUGAGAGUGUGGUGGCCACGUUAGCUCUAGCUGAUCAGCAUCGUUGCAGCAAGCUGAGAGACGCUUGCAUUGAGUACAUCAAGCUCUUUUGUUAG
rnacentral:rRNA from 1 species